rnacentral:tRNA from 1 species
GGAGGCGUAGCUCAGAUGGUAGAGCCCUCGCUUAGCAUGCGAGAGGUACGGGAAUCAAUACCACGCGCCUCCA